rnacentral:rRNA from 1 species
UACAGAAGAAGCACCGGCUAACUCCGUGCCAGCAGCCGCGGUAAUACGGGAGGGUGCGAGCGUUAAUCGGAAUUACUGGGCGUAAAGCGCAUGCAGGCGGCCGUGUUAAGUCAGAUGUAGAAACGGCCCGGGGACGUUAACCUACCGGUAAGUUAGCUAUUUAGUAAACGUAGGCGAGGCUAGAGUCUUGUAGAGGGGGGUAGGAAUUUCAGGUGUAGCGGUGAAAUGCGUAGAGAUCUGAAGGAAUACCAGUGGCGAAGGCGGCCCCCUGGACAAAGACUGACGCUCAGAUGCGAAAGCGUGGGGAGCAAACAGGAUUAGAUACCCUGGUAG